ACGAGAGGCCCCAGUUGAUAAUACAACGGCGUAAAGGGUGGUUAAGGACUUUUAAAAAUAAAGCCAAAUGGCCCUUUGGCCGUCAUACGCUUCUAGGUGUCCGAAGCCCCAACACGAAAGUAGCUUUAAACCCCACCUGACCCCACGAAAACUGAGAAACAAACUGGGAUUAGAUACCCCACUAUG
rnacentral:rRNA from 1 species